rnacentral:tRNA from 1 species
GGAUUGUGGCUCAGCGGUAGAGCACUCACCUAGCUUGUGCAAGGCCCUGGGUUCGAUCCUCAGCACCA